rnacentral:tRNA from 1 species
UGCAGUAUAGCUCGGUGGUAGAGCACUUGGCUAGCAUGCAGGGGGCCAGGGUUCCAUUUCCAGUACAGCCU